rnacentral:rRNA from 1 species
AACCUGCCCUCUUCAGGGGGACAACCUUCCGAAAGGGAGGCUAAUCCCGCGUAUAUCGGUUUCGGGCAUCCGAGAUCGAGGAAAGAUUCAUCGGAAGAGGAUGGGCAUGCGGCGCAUUAGCUAGACGGCGGGGUAACGGCCCACCGUGGCGACGAUGCGUAGGGGUUCUGAGAGGAAGGUCCCCCACACUGGUACUGAGACACGGACCAGACUCCUACGGGAGGCAGCAG